UAUUUCUCAGCCUAUAAAGGAUCUCAUCUUUUUUUUUAAAAAAAAAUUGAAUUUGUUUAUGUUUGAAGUUAUUUGUUUACUGUAUUCUUCUCUUGCUUAGAAUGAUAAGUCAAAACUCAAGAAGGUGAUUGAAGAGCUUGAUGAAAAGAAGAAGGAAACACUAAAAGUUACUUGGGUUAAAGUGAACAAGCUGACAAGCUAAAGAAGUUAGUAGAGGAUGAAAUUCAAUUUCUCAAGGGAAGGGUUUCAAAACUUGAAAGUGAUCUUGUGUCGAAGUCCACAGAAGUUACAUCUGCAGUUUCGAGGAAAGAAGAAGCUCUAUCUUCUGCAUUUGCUGAAAUUGACUGUCUGAUGAAAGAAAAUUCUGUAAAAAUGUGAGCAUUAUUGAAUGCAUAUGGAGGGUGUUUACUGUGUUGGAGUGUAUUUGUUUCUUGCACAUGAGGUCAUGCCUUAGUUGUAAUUCUUAUGAUAGGUUGAGCAAAGUGAAGUAUUGUUUAUUUAGAAAUGUAAAUGUAGGAUGCAUUGUAUGAUUUGAUUGCUAUUUGUAAUAAAUGCAUCAUUUUUUU